rnacentral:rRNA from 1 species
CCUACGGGGCGCAGCAGUGAGGAAUAUUGGUCAAUGGACGCAAGUCUGAACCAGCCAUGCCGCGUGCAGGAAGACGGCUCUAUGAGUUGUAAACUGUUUUUGUACGAGGGUAAACGCAGAUACGCGUAUCUGUCUGAAAGUAUCGUACGAAUAAGGAUCGGCUAACUCCGGGCCAGCAGCCGCGGUAAUACGGAGGAUUCAAGCGUUAUCCGGAUUUAUUGGGUUUAAAGGGUGCGUAGGUGGUCGGAUAAGUUAGAGGUGAAAUCCCGAGGCGCAACUUCGGAAUUGCUUCUGAUACUGUUCAGCUAGAGAGUAGUUGCGGUAGGCGGAAUGUAUGGUGUAGCGGUGAAAUGCUUAGAGAUCAUACGGAACACCGGUUGCGAAGGCGGCUUACCAAGCUACUUCUGACGUUGAGGCACGAAAGCGUGGGGAGCAAACAGGAUUAGAUACCCUUGUAGUC